rnacentral:tRNA from 1 species
GCAUGGAUGGCUCUGUGGUCGAGCGCUUGCCUAGCAUGAGCAAGACCCAGGGUUCAGUCCCCCGUACUGCA